GACGAACGCUGGCGGCGUGCUCAACACAUGCAAGUCGAACGGAAAGGCCCUGCUUUUGUGGGGUGCUCGAGUGGCGAACGGGUGAGUAACACGUGAGUAACCUGCCCUUGACUUUGGGAUAACUUCAGGAAACUGGGGCUAAUACCGGAUAGGAGCUCCUGCUGCAUGUUGGGGGUUGUAAAGUUUCGGCGGUUGGGGAUGGACUCGCGGCUUAUCCGCUUGUUGGUGGGGUAGUGGCUUACCAAGGCUUUGACGGGUAGCCGGCCUGAGAGGGUGACCGGCCACAUUGGGACUGAGAUACGGCCCGGACUCCUACGGGAGGCAGCAGUGGGGAAUAUUGCACAAUGGGCGGAAGCCUGAUGCAGCAACGCCGCGUGCGGGAUGACGGCCUUCGGGUUGUAAACCGCUUUCGCCUGUGACGAAGCGUGAGUGACGGUAAUGGGUAAAGAAGCACCGGCUAACUACGUG
rnacentral:rRNA from 1 species